rfam:Nicotiana attenuata strain TT chromosome 6, whole genome shotgun sequence.
GCCGAGCUCAGUAACGUGGGCUUGUAACUCAAGUGGGGGCAUCAAUGUGGUGGAAUGUUGGGCUCUUCCAGAAGGUUGGUCUUGGUGGUCUCUAUGCUGGCCUGCCCUAUCCAAGCACAGAGCUGGGUCACGUGGCCCAAACGAAGGUAACGAAGGUAUGGGCCACUUGACUCCUAAAGUGGGGUGGACUGCGUGAGGCUGGUUUCACAGAGCAACGAAUAGCUCCCGCUUUGUGCAGUGGAAGGAUAAUGGGCCGGUGCUUUCCAAGUCCAGCAACGCCUGAUGGGUUGCUCCAAUUAAACCUCCAUUUUU